CGACCGAGACCCCUUGUCAGGCGGGAUUACCCGCUGAGUUUAA
rnacentral:rRNA from 1 species